rnacentral:rRNA from 1 species
GAUUAACGCUGGCGGCGUGCCUAACACAUGCAAGUCGAACGAGGUAGCAAUACCUAGUGGCAGACGGGUGAGUAACGCGUGGUCAACCUACCGUUGAGUGGGGGAUAACUAGCCGAAGGUUAGCUAAUACCGCAUACGUCUCCGAGGGGCAUCCCUUGGCGAUAAAAGGAGCAAUCCGCUCGAUGACGGGACCGCGUCCCAUUAGCUAGAUGGUGGGGUAACGGCCUACCAUGGCACCGAUGGGUAGC